rnacentral:tRNA from 2 species
UGGAGAUGUACCCAAGUGGCUGAAGGGUCCGCACUCGAAAUGCGGUAGGUCGGGUAACCGGCGCGAGGGUUCAAAUCCCUCCAUCUCCGUC